rnacentral:rRNA from 1 species
UACGUAGGGGGCAGGCGUUGUCCGGAAUCAUUGGGCGUAAAGAGCGUGUAGGCGGCCCGGUAAGUCCGCUGUGAAAGUCCAGGGCUCAACCCUGGGAUGCCGGUGGAUACUGUCGGGCUCGAGUCCGGAAGAGGAGUGUGGAAUUCCUGGUGUAGCGGUGAAAUGCGCAGAUAUCAGGAGGAACACCAAUGGCGAAGGCAGCACUCUGGGACGUGACUGACGCUGAGACGCGAAAGCGUGGGGAGCGAACAGG